ensembl:lincRNA
AUGCUGGGUUACGACGGUGGCAGCAGCGACUCGGAGUGUGAAGGACCCACGAUGAACGAGCAGGAGAAGCAGACGCCGCUCAUGCCUGAUUUCUGGCUCAUCAUCAGGAUCCAUCAGGACCGGGUGCAGGUUUUCUCUCACUCCAGGAGUUUGCAUCGAGGGAAAGAGGAGGAAGAGGAGGAGGAGAUCCCCGAAUACCUGCGCCUUCAUCAGCUGGUGGUGCGCAGGAUUGGAGAAAUGUGCCGAAUAGUCAACCAGCGCCUCCUGCUGCAGGAUCUGCAUGACAGUCGUGUGUGCCACUCUCUCCUGGUGGCGGAGAGUGAGGAGGACAUCUGGAAACAUGAGUCGCUCUACCGGCCCCGGAUGACCCACUCUGAUGACUAUAAUGCUGACGAGAGCUAUCAGCGGCGGGAUUACCUCGCCGCCACCAUGCACUUCAUACCGGGUUACUUCGCCUGUGACGUGGUGUGGAGCACCGUUAUUUACAUCCACCCGCGGCUCAAGAUGGGGCCCAACAUGGGUGUGUCCCGCGCUAUGCAGGCUCUGCACUCCGUUCUCAACGCUUUCUGUGUGGUGAACCGCAAAAACAUGUUUGUCUAUCAGGAGCGCACCACUAAAUCUGUGUUCUACCUCCGGCUCUCCGAGACGUCUCAGGCAGGGAAGUACAGUGAUUUGGAUGGAAACGUGCACAUGUCGCGCUCUGUCGGUCUGGCUCGCAGCCAGGAGCCGCUAGGCUCAGAGGACCUCACGGGAUCGCGCUCGUCUCUGGAAGGCUCGAGGCCAGUUGGACUGGUGGACAAACACAUUCUGCUGCUAGUUCAUGGUGUAGGAACUGCAGGUCCAGAGAUCUCGGAUGAGCUGAUGAAGCUCUUGAGGAAGCGUCUGGAUGAAGCCACACUGGACAUUAUUACAGUCAUGCUGGUCAGAAACUGCAAACUGACCCCUGCAGAUGUGGAGUUUAUCCAGCCUCCCGGGUCUCCAGCGACGGAGGUGAUGGAGUUCUGUCUGCCUCAGUACUGUGGGCCGUGGAUCCAGGCGGUGGCUCACUAUCUCCGGCAGAACCUGCUCAUUUUUCUCCACAUCCCCAAAUACACUGACAGCAACAUCGAGCACCACUUUAAGCAUUAUUUCCAUUCAAGUAGCGAGCUGCCCGAUCAUGACAUCUACCUGUACAAUAAACCUGGAGGACAGGGCACCGGAGGCAAAGGUACAAUGUCGGACCUUGUUCAGAAUCUUUUCCCAACCUCUCAGUUUCAAGGUAUAAAAGGCCCUCCGCACUUCACUGCUAUGCUGCAGCGCCCCCAUGCACUGGCUGUGUGUGCUAAUGCAUGGUCAUGUGUCAGCUUAAAAUGAUUGUGCACCAUAAAAUAAUUUUUUUUUUUGUUUUUUUGUUUUAGAGAACUUACUGCAUUGGGUUUGUUUCAGUACAGAUUGUGUGUUUAAUUAAUAAAUUAUUGCAUUUAUAUUAUUAUAAUAGUUUUGGAUGCAUUAUUUAUUCAUAUAUGUAUUCAGCAAGAAUGCAUUGCAUUCAAUCAGAGGCAGCAGUAAAGACUUUUUAAAUAAAAGACAUUUUUAAUAAAUGUAAUUCAGCUUUCAUUCAUAGACAUAAGUUGCAAAAUAGAAAAUAUAUAUUUAUUUAAUCCCCCCCCCCAAAAAAAAAUAAAUAAAAACAGCACUAGUGAACAUUGUAGACUUUCAUUAAAAUAUUUAAAAUAUAUUUAAAUCCUCCCCAAUCAAUACAGCUAUAGUAAAC